AGGUAGGAUUUGGAUGUCUAGACGAUUCACUAACGGCGAGUAGCCACCAUUUGUGUUCGUGGACUGCAUGGCUGCUGCAGAAGAUAUUUAGAAAGAGGUGUAUCACAGGCACAUGAUAGCCAGAGAAGGCUGGGCUAUGGUUGCUUAAAUAUGUUGAUUUCUUUUGGUAUGGAGUUCGUACUGGCCUUACAUAGGAUAUGUGGAUUCAUUGGGAGAUAAGUCUAAACGUAAUGUGGUGCAAUAUAAAGGCCGCUUUUCCGUGACAUCCGAGAGCGUCGAUCUUGCAAAGGUUCUGGAAAUUCCAUUUAGUACCAUCUCACGCAAAUCACCACAUGGUGUACAGCUAAGAAAAUCUGCAAGUGUUGGUGAUUGGAUUGUGAACGCCAAACCAAUGUCUAACAGCCAUCAACUAAAGGAACUCUGCAAUAGCUCGGUAUCAUCGUCGAUUCUCAUUCCACACCUUGAGAACAUCGUGCAACAGACUACGCUUCAGCAAGAUCUGAUCGUUAACCUACUAAGUAGCAUGCAACAUAAUGAGAAAGCUGACGGUAUUU